rnacentral:rRNA from 1 species
AAACGUAGGGGGCAAGCGUUGUCCGGAAUUACUGGGCGUAAAGGGCGUGUAGGCGGCCCUGCAAGUCAGACGUGAAACCUAUCGGCUCAACUGAUAGCUUGCGAUUGAAACUGCAGAGCUUGAGUGCAGAAGAGGGGAGUGGAAUUCCCAGUGUAGCGGUGAAAUGCGUAGAUAUUGGGAGGAACACCGGUGGCGAAAGCGGCUCCCUGGCCUGUAACUGACGCUGAGGCGCGAAAGCGUGGGUAGCAAACAGGAUUAGAUACCCUGGUAGUCCACGCCGUAAACGAUGGGUGCUAGGUGUUGGGGGUAUCGACCCCCCCAGUGCCGCAGUUAACGCACUAAGCACCCCGCCUGGGGAGUACGGCCGCAAGGCUGAA